GAUGAACGCUGGCGGCGUGCCUAAUACAUGCAAGUCGAGCGAACAGACGAGGAGCUUGCUCCUCUGACGUUAGCGGCGGACGGGUGAGUAACACGUGGAUAACCUACCUAUAAGACUGGGAUAACUUCGGGAAACCGGAGCUAAUACCGGAUAAUAUAUUGAAGCGCAGGGUGCAAUAGUGAAAGACGGUGGUGCGGGCACGUAUAGAGGGAUCCGCGCCGCAUUAGCUAGUUGGUAAGGUAACGGCUUACCAAGGGAACGAUGCGUAGCCGAGCUGAGUGGGUGGUCGGCCGCCCUGGAACUGAGCCACGGUCCAGGCUCCUGCGGGAGGCAGCAGUAGGGAAUCUUCCGCAGUGGGCGGAAGCCUGGCGGAGCGACGCCGCGUGAGUGAUGAAGGUCUUCGGAUCGUAAAACUCUGUUAUUAGUGAAGAACAAAUGUGUAAGUAACUAUGCACGUCUUGACGGUACCUGAUCAGAAAGCCCCGGCUAACUACGUG
rnacentral:rRNA from 1 species